rnacentral:rRNA from 1 species
AAUCGAACCCGGAGAUAGCUGGUUCUCCUCGAAAUAGCUUUAGGGCUAGCCUUCAGUUAGUCUGCCGCAGGUAGAGCACUGAAUUUCCUAGGGGGCGUCAAAGCCUACCGAAGAAUAUCAAACUGCGAAUGGCGGACAGAUGAUGCUGGGGAGUCAGACUGCACGAGAUAAGUUGGGUGGUCAAAAGGGAAAGAGCCCAGACCUACAGCUAAGGUCCCAAAGUGCGUGUUAAGUGGAAAAGGAUGUGGGAUUUCGAAGACAACUAGGAUGUUGGCUCAGAAGCAGCCACACAUUAAAAGAGUGCGUAAUAGCUCACUAGUCGAGAGGUCCUGCGCCGAAAAUGUCCGGGGCUGAAACACGACACCGAAGCUUAGGAACAGAAAUGUUGGUAGAGGAGCAUUGUUAGCGGAACGAAGCCAUACCGGAAGGAGUGGUGGACUGCUAAGAAGAGAGAAUGCCGGAAUGAGUAGCGAGAUUGAAGUGAGAAUCUUCAAGGCCGAAUAUCUAAGGUUUCCAGGGUAAAGCUGAUCUGCCCUGGGUAAGUCGGGGCCUAAGGCGAGGUCGAAAGACGUAGCCGAUGGACAACAGGUUGAAAUUCCUGUACUGCGAUAUAUCAGAAAUGUGGGGACACAGAAGGAAAGUGUGAGCCGGGAAAGGAAAGACCGGUGCAAGCACAGGAGGAGAGAUACAGGCAAAUCCGUAUUUCAAUCCAAUGGUGUUACGCGGAGCGAACAAAAGUAGCGAAGCACACAGACCAUCUGUCGAGAAAAGCCGCUAUUGUGUAUACCGUACCCGUACCGUAAACCGACACAGGUGGAUGAGGAGAGAAUCCUAAGGCCGGCGGGAGAAGCAUUGUUAAGGAACUCGGCAAAAUGACCCCGUAACUUCGGGAGAAGGGGUGCUCACGCAAGUGAGCCGCAGAGAACUGGCCCAAGCAACUGUUUAGCAAAAACACAGGUCUAUGCAAAACCGAAAGGUGAGGUAUAUGGGCUGACGCCUGCCCGGUGCUGGAAGGUUAAGAGGAGAUGUUAGAGCAAUCGAAGCAUUGAAUUUAAGCCCCAGUAAACGGCGGCCGUAACUAUAACGGUCCUAAGGUAGCGAAAUUCCUUGUCGGGUAAGUUCCGACCCGCACGAAAGGCGUAAUGAUUUGGGCACUGUCUCGACAAUGCACCCGGUGAAAUUGAAAUACCAGUGAAGAUGCUGGUUACCUGCGCCAGGACGGAAAGACCCCAUGGAGCUUUACUCUAGCUUGAUACUGGGAUUCGGUAUUGCAUGUACAGGAUAGGUGGGAGACGAAGAGGUGAUGACGCCAGUUGUCACGGAGUCGAUGUUGGGAUACCACCCCUGCAGUACUGGGUUUCUAACCUGCGGCCGUGACCCGGCCGGGGGACAAUGUCUGGUGGGGAGUUUGACUGGGGCGGUCGCCUCCGAAAGGGUAUCGGAGGCGCUCAAAGGUUCCCUCAGAAUGGUUGGAAACCAUUCGAAGAGUGCAAAGGCAGAAGGGAGCUUGACUGCGACACCGACGGGUGGAGCAGGUACGAAAGUAGGACUUAGUGAUCCGGUGGUAUAAAGUGGGAUUGCCAUCGCUCAACGGAUAAAAGCUACCCUGGGGAUAACAGGCUUAUCACUCCCAAGAGUUCACAUCGACGGAGUGGUUUGGCACCUCGAUGUCGGCUCAUCGCAUCCUGGGGCUGUAGUAGGUCCCAAGGGUUGGGCUGUUCGCCCAUUAAAGCGGUACGCGAGCUGGGUUCAGAACGUCGUGAGACAGUUCGGUCCCUAUCCGGCGUGGGCGUAGGAUAUCUGAGAGGAGCUGUCCUUAGUACGAGAGGACCGGGAUGGACUGACCUCUGGUGCAUCGGUUGAGCCACCAGGCUCAUGGCCGAGUAGCCAAGUCGGGACGGGAUAAACGCUGAAGGCAUCUAAGCGUGAAGCCCCCCUCAAGAUGAGAUAUCCCAUAGAGUUAAUCUAGUAAGACCCCUUGA